rnacentral:rRNA from 1 species
AUUGAACGCUGGCGGCAUGUUUUACACAUGCAAGUCGAACGGUAACAGCACUUCGGUGGCUGACGAGUGGCGGACGGGUGAGUAAUACAUCGGAACGUGCCUAGUAGUGGGGGAUAACUACUCGAAAGAGUAGCUAAUACCGCAUGAGAUCUAAGGAUGAAAGCAGGGGACCUUCGGGCCUUGCGCUACUAGAGCGGCUGAUGGCAGAUUAGGUAGUUGGUGGGAUAAAAGCUUACCAAGACGACGAUCUGUAGCUGGUCUGAGAGGACGACCAGCCACACUGGGACUGAGACACGGCCCAGACUCCUACGGGAGGCAGCAGUGGGGAAUUUUGGACAAUGGGCGCAAGCCUGAUCCAGCAAUGCCGCGUGCAGGAUGAAGGCCUUCGGGUUGUAAACUGCUUUUGUACGGAACGAAAAGCCCUCUUCUAAUACAGGAGGGUCAUGACGGUACCGUAAGAAUAAGCACCGGCUAACUACGUG